rnacentral:rRNA from 1 species
UACGUAGGGUGCAAGCGUUGUCCGGAAUUAUUGGGCGUAAAGAGCUCGUAGGUGGUCUGUUGCGUCGGCUGUGAAAACCCGAGGCUCAACCUCGGGCCUGCAGCCGAUACGGGCAGACUAGAGUUCGGCAGGGGAGACUGGAAUUCCUGGUGUAGCGGUGGAAUGCGCAGAUAUCAGGAGGAACACCGGUGGCGAAGGCGGGUCUCUGGGCAGUAACUGACGCUGAGGAGCGAAAGCGUGGGGAGCGAACAGG